GAAACGACUGCUAAUACCGCAUAAGCCCACGGCUCGGCAUCGAGCAGAGGGAAAAGGAGCAAUCCGCUUUGAGAUGGCCUCGCGUCCGAUUAGCUAGUUGGUGAGGUAACGGCCCACCAAGGCGACGAUCGGUAGCCGGACUGAGAGGUUGAACGGCCACAUUGGGACUGAGACACGGCCCAGACUCCUACGGGAGGCAGCAGUGGGGAAUAUUGCACAAUGGGGGAAACCCUGAUGCAGCGACGCCGCGUGGAGGAAGAAGGUCUUCGGAUUGUAAACUCCUGUUGUUGAGGAAGAUAAUGACGGUACUCAACAAGGAAGUGACGGCUAACUACGCGCCAGCAGCCGCGGUAAAACGUAGGUCACAAGCGUUGUCCGGAAUUACUGGGUGUAAAGGGAGCGCAGGCGGGAAGACAAGUUGGAAGUGAAAUCCAUGGGCUCAACCCAUGAACUGCUUUCAAAACUGUUUUUCUUGAGUAGUGCAGAGGUAGGCGGAAUUCCCGGUGUAGCGGUGGAAUGCGUAGAUAUCGGGAGGAACACCAGUGGCGAAGGCGGCCUACUGGGCACCAACUGACGCUGAGGCUCGAAAGUGUGGGUAGCAAACAGGAUUAGAUACCCUGGUAGUCCACACUGUAAACGAUGAAUGCUAGGUGUUGGAGGAUUGACCCCUUCAGUGCC
rnacentral:rRNA from 1 species